rnacentral:ribozyme from 1 species
CUUCGAUCGGUACUGAACCUCUACGUGGUGAAGAAGAUCAACAGCUUCCAAGUGUCCCCUGGAUAUUUGGGAGCUGGCUAAUACAGUA